GGCUCAGUUGGUAGAGCAUGGUGCUUGCAACGCCAAGGCUGUGGGUUCAAUUCCCAU
rnacentral:tRNA from 1 species